rnacentral:tRNA from 3 species
GCGGGAAUAGCUCAGUUGGUAGAGCACAACCUUGCCAAGGUUGGGGUCGCGGGUCCGAGUCCCGUUUCCCGCUCCA